UUCCUUCUAUCUUUGGGAAAUAGAAAUGAUAUGUUUCUACUUCACUGACAAAUUGGAAAAAUAAUUUCAUUAAAAGUGGGUCUCAAAGGAGAAAUUAGGGUCCACAGAUAUUGGGUUUGGUUUCCAUUCCUAAAAGAAGGAAACUCCUCUGUCUCUCUCCUUUAUAUACAUAUAUCAAUCUCUGCAUAUGCAUUAAAUUGGUAAGGUGGCAAAGUGCAUAUCAAGCCUCUUUAUGAUGUCCUAAAAGAGACCAUGCAAUUGCUGAGGGUUAAUAGCUUUCUCCUCCCACAGCAGCAAGAAUUAAGCCACAACGUGUAGUGUUCCCAUGUGCAAGUCCUUUACACCUUAUGAACCAAGGUUUGACGCUAGUAAUUGAAAUCACACAAGUACAUAGGCUUUUCCCUGGACUGAACCUCAUCUGUAAAUUGAGAAGCACUUCACAAGUCUGGAUGUCACAGGUUGUGACGCUAUUACCCAAGGAGGGGACCUUAUUACAGCAUUUAACAAACAGGAGUUGAUGCAUUCUAUUUUCCUUUAGCAAACGUUAUUUAAGCUAAACAAUGAGGAGACUUCCCCCACGCCCCGAAGGAUCAGAAAUGAAAUUCCUUUCAGCCUUAGCUCUCACAUUUGUGUAUGACUCAGAUGGUUAAGAUCUCCCCUCCCUGCUUUCAGUCUCUCAGCCACAAAGAGCUAAGAAAGAAAAUAAAUUCCUUUCUAAAAAUGAGGUCCUGAAGGGAAAUCAUUCAGAUGCAGUAGGAGUUUGCUUCACUGCAGCCAAGGAGUAUGAAAAACCCACGGCAUGCAAGUGGACAAGAUGAGCACCAUGAGACAUGCCUCACUGCUUGUGUUGAUAACAGAUGUGUUCUGAAAAAGCCAAACAGAAGAGUCAGGAGAAGUGGGUCUGUGAAUGUGGAGUGUUUCUCACAGGCUUAGGUGUCUACUGAAGCUAGAAGAAACUCCUUUCUCUCUGAGAAUACUUGGAACCAACAUCACCUCUAGGAGGGUGCCAAACGUGUUUUCCAGGAUGACGCCAUGAAGACUUUCGUGGCCUUUUAAAAUUGUUAUAUUUGAAGGUGAGCUUUCCUUUGACAAACAGCCUGUGCAGCCAGAGCAACUGGUGAGAACAAUGAGUCAUAAAAAGUCUGUUAUUAAAAACGUUUGCUUUGUUCACAUCCUGAAUUGAUUUCCUCUAAUGAUUUCCCUCUGACGGCUGUGGUCAAAAAUAAUAACAGUAAUAAUAAAAUAAGAGAAUAUGCCCCUCCCUGGUUCCUCUAAUAGAGGCUUUGCACUCCAUGUGUUGACAGAGCAGCCCUGAAAAUAAGACUAAUAAGUGAAUUCAAUAAUAAACUAAAGGAAAAUAGA